rnacentral:lncRNA from 1 species
ACAUAAUGUACACAAUAGUGGUAUGAUGGAAAUUACAGUGUUGAAUGUACGUGUUAGUGCUAUGUGUGUGUGUGUGUGUGUGUGUGUGUGUGUGUGUGUGUGUGUGUGUGUGUGUGUGUGUGUGUGUGUGUGUGUGUGAUAGCUGCAGUCGAAUGUGUUAGUGCAGUGAUUAUGUUAAGAAAAGUUGUGAGGAAGGCCCAAAGGAAGGCCCAAAGGAAGGCCCAAAGGAAGGCCCAAAGGAAGGCCCACAAGUUCCGAGGAAGGCCCAAAGGAAGGCCCAAAAGUUCCGAGGAAGGCCCAAAGGAAGGCCAAAAGUUCUGAGGAAGGCCCAAAGGAAGGCCCAAAGGAAGGCCCAAAGGAAGGCCCAAAAGAAGGCCCAAAAGUUCUGAGGAAGGCCCAAAGGAAGGCCCAAAGGAAGGCCCAAAAGUUCUGAGGAAGGCCCAAAAGAAGGCCCAAAAAAUUGUCAGACACUCCAGUCACCAAGUCAUAGACUGUUUUCUCUGCUACCGCACGGCAAGCAUUACCAGAGCUCCAAGUCUAAAAAAGGCUCCUUAACAGCUUCUACCCCCAAGCCAAAAGACUGCUGAACAAUUAUUUCCAUUGAACCCCCCUCUGUUUUUUUACAGUGCUGCUUCUCCCUGUUUAUUAUCUAUUCUUGUCACUUCACCCCUACCUAAAUUACUUCGACUAACCCGUACCCCCACACAUUGACUCGGUACCAGUACCCCCCUGUAUAUAGCCUCAUUAUUGUUAUUUUAUUUUUCACUUUAAUUUAUUUAUUAAAUGUUUUCUUAACUCUAUUUUCUUAAGGGCUUGUAAGUAAGCAUUUCACGGUAUGUCCUACACCUGUUGUAUUUGGGCGCUUGUGACAAAUACCAUUUGAUUUGAUAAUGUCCCUGACUGUCCAUUAAAGGAAUAGCUUCCAGAGUCAGAUGAACGUGUGGUUGUCAUGUUUAAAUGUCUCUGAGUUCAGUAUGAAGGAAG